GUAAACUCAAAAACAAUUCUGAGGGUAGGGAUUUCCUAGACAUUUUUAAAUGCCAAGGAUUCCCAAACACACAGACACUCACAGCCUUACAUAAAGUUGGGAGCUCAGAGGUUCUUGUUGAUUUGGCACGGGGAAAUCGAGGGUCAUGGGGUCAGUGUAAGAAUCAGAAAGAUUAGGUAGAUAGAAUUAGUGAAAGAGAGGGAGGAACAUGUACAACUGCUGAGCACAGAGGUCCAAAAGGGACUUAGAACAGAUCCACUUGAAGAUUUUUAAUAAUUUUUCCUUUUACUGUGAGGAGAGGGAUUUAAAAAUUAAUUAGUGUUCUGAUCCAUUCUUGGAAUCACUAUAGAAUCACUAUAGGAGAGAAGGGGGUGGGGGAGAGAGAUUUCUAAUAUUCCUUGUGUUUUUCUAUACCUGUAUACACUCUUAACAUUUUCCCCCUUGAAAGUCCCUGCUUUUCCAGUAUAUCUGGUCUCUGGCUAUCUUUUUUUAGGCCGUAGGAGUCCCCUGCCACUACUGUCUCCUCACUAAAAGGUUAACUGUUGAGAUGGCAUUCCUAUCAGCUCACCUCACAAAGGUACAAGGAGCAGUGCCUGGCUGUGGGUGCCCAGAGAAGUCCCUGAGAUGAUGACACAGCCAGGCCUGGCCUCAGGUUCCUGCAGAGUCUCAGUUGCCCCAGUGGAGAAGACUGUGUGCAGCUGAGAGGGAACACAAGACAAAAAGGCUAUUUUCGAUCACAAGCUCCUAGGACAGAGAAGCUGAGCCAGUUCCAGCACCCAGAAGGAAGCUCCCCCACUGCCAUACCAAGCUCCUAGGGCAGACAAGGCGAGCUGCGUGGGUAUCAGAAGCACCCCCACACCCCCGUGGAAAUGAGAAGACACAUAAACAAGCCUCAAAAACAGACUUCCAGAUCACCUACAGCAACCCCAAAGGGAAAUGAGAUGGAACACUCUGAUACUCAACCACCUGGACUCUCUGAACUGGCAACAAAAGAGGAUCUGGGAAAAAUGAAAUCAGAAAUAAUUACUCAGGUAACAGCAAAGAUUUUGCUCAUGGUGCAAGGGAUGAUUAAUAAAUCUAGAGAGG
rnacentral:lncRNA from 1 species